rnacentral:rRNA from 1 species
ACACGCAUGACACACUGCAUAUCAAUAAGCGGAGGAAAAGAAACUAACAAGGAUUCCCCUAGUAACGGCGAGUGAAGCGGGAAGAGCUCAAAUUUGAAAUCUUCGAGGUUUUACCUUGACGAAUUGUAGUUUAAAGAAGUGUUUUCUGUUGGAGUUUUGGUAAAAGUUCCUUGGAAUAGGACAUCAUAGAGGGUGAGAAUCCCGUAUUUGACCAUUAUUUUCAGCUGUGUGAUACACUUUCAAAGAGUCGGAUUGUUUGGGAAUGCAGUCCAAAAUGGGUGGUAAAUUUCAUCUAAAGCUAAAUACUGGCGAGAGACCGAUAGCGAACAAGUACCGUGAGGGAAAGAUGAAAAGAACUUUGAAAAGAGAGUUAAACAGGUACGUGAAAUUGUCAAAAGGGAAGCGUUUGACACCAGUGUUGUUUUUCCGAAAAUCAAUUACGAAUGUUUUAGUUUUUGAGGAGUUAUGACUUCAUCGGCUUGCUUCUCUCUUUAUGAAACUUUCUUAAUGCACUUUUCGGUUAACAAGUCAACAUCAAUUUCUUUUGUUGUAAAAGGGUAUGAGGAAGGUGGCUUUCUUUUCGGAGAAAGUGUUUAUAGCCUUGUACCUCUGCAAUCGGAGAGAUUGAGGUCUGCAGCGUAGAUCCUUCGGGGUUAGAUACAUUUGUGCUAAGUUAUAGCUUUUCAUAGACAACUUGUUGACUAUGUUUAGUCUUGUAGCUUACUCGCUUAUGCUAUUUUACCUACGCUUAGGAUGUUGAGCGCAUGUCUCUCUCU